GAAGAGAACAAUUCUCAGACUGGAUGUUGAACAUCAGCUAGUUUCUCCUGUUGAUUUAAACCUUGUUGUAGAGAUGGAACAUUGGCUGGGGAUUAUUCUUGCUGCUCUUUUCUUUGAGUGUAAAGGAGAAGACAGAGUGAUCCAGCAACCAGGAGACGUCAUUACUACUGAAGGAGAGACACUUACUCUUGGCUGUACAUUUGAGACAACUUAUACAGGUGCCACUUUGUUCUGGUACAAACAAGAAGAAAAUGAUUACCCAAAGAUGCUGCUGAAACGUUUCUCUGUAAAAACUGAUAAUUCUAAAGAGAAAGAGAGAGUUGAUGCUACAGUAAAGGAUAAGUCCUUUCCUCUGGAGAUCCAGAAGCUUCAGCUGUCUGACUCUGCUGUGUACUACUGUGCUCUGCAGCCCACAGUGACAGGAAACACCAAAACUCUGUACAAAAACCUUUGGAGCAAAGACAACACAAUACUCCACAACGUCCACCAGAGGGAGAGACACACUGUUAAACUUCAGUGUAUUUUACGAGACAGUGUUGAUUAA